rnacentral:rRNA from 1 species
AUGCACGCUGGCGGCGUGCCUCAUCCCUGCCAGUCGAGCGCACGGACGAGAAGCUUGCUUCUCUGAUGUUAGCGGCGGACGGGUGAGUAACACGUGGAUAACCUACCUAUAAGACUGGGAUAACUUCGGGAAACCGUAGCUAAUACCGGAUAAUAUUUUGAACCGCAUGGUUCAAAAGUGAAAGACGGUCUUGCUGUCACUUAUAGAUGGAUCCGCGCUGCAUUAGCUAGUUGGUAAGGUAACGGCUUACCAAGGCAACGAUGCAUAGCCGACCUGAGAGGGUGAUCGGCCACACUGGAACUGAGACACGGUCCAGACUCCUACGGGAGGCAGCAGUAGGGAAUCUUCCGCAAUGGGCGAAAGCCUGACGGAGCAACGCCGCGUGAGUGAUGAAGGUCUUCGGAUCGUAAAACUCUGUUAUUAGGGAAGAACAUAUGUGUAAGUAACUGUGCACAUCUUGACGGUACCUAAUCAGAAAGCCACGGCUAACUACGUG